CGGACGGGUGAGUAAUGUCUGGGAAACUGCCCGAUGGAGGGGGAUAACUACUGGAAACGGUAGCUAAUACCGCAUAACGUCGCAAGGCCAAGAGGGGACCUUCGGGCCUCUUGCCAUCGGAUGUGCCCAGAUGGGAUUAGCUAGUAGGUGGGGUAACGGCUCACCUAGGCGACGAUCCCUAGCUGGUCUGAGAGGAUGACCAGCCACACUGGAACUGAGACACGGUCCAG
rnacentral:rRNA from 1 species